CGGUGGCACACACCUGUAGUUCAGCUACUCAGGAGAAUCACUUGAGCCCAGGAGUUCUGGGCUGUAGUGCACUAUGCCAAUCAAGUGUCUGCACUAAGUUCAGCAUCAAUAUGGUGACCUCUUGAGAGCAGGGGACCACCAGGUUGCCUAAGGAAGGGUGAACUGGCCCAGGUCAGAAAUGGAGCAGUCAAAACUCCCGUGCUGAUCUGUAGCGGGAUCGCAUCUGUGAAUAGCCACUGCACUCCAGCCUGGGCAACAUAGCGAGA
rnacentral:SRP_RNA from 1 species